GGAGUUGUGGCUCAGUGGUAAGAGCACUUGCCUAGCAUGUGUGAGGCCCUGGGUUCAAUCCUCAGCACCA
rnacentral:tRNA from 1 species